GACUACAUGAAGCUGGAAUCGCUAGUAAUCGCGAAUCAGAAUGUCGCGGUGAAUACGUUCCCGGGUCCUUGUACACACCGCCCGUCACACCAUGGGAGUCGGAAAUGCCCGAAGUCAGUGACCCAACCGUAAGGAGGGAGCUGCCGAAGGUGGAGCCGGUAACUGGGGUGAAGUCGUAACAAGGUACC
rnacentral:rRNA from 1 species